GAUAACACAGCUAUGAAAACUGGCAAACGAAGAAUAAAGCCGGUGAGGCUGGGGGAGGUGGGGGAUGGGAGGGCACCAUAACCACUGGGCUGAGGACUGCAAACUUGGCCAUGUUGUGGCUUCUCUCUAGAUGAUGUGAAUUACAGCAGGCAGAGACACUCUUCUGUCCUCCAGGAAUUCACCUCGCCACCCAAGCAAAUCCUGCCUUCUGCCUGCUCUCUCUCCUACCUCAAUUUCCAUGAUAGGUCACAUGUAUAUUAAGCUGUGUCAAACAGGUCAUAAAUUUACAGCGUAAGGGCCCCAAUCCAGCCCUCAGACAUGCUUUGUUCAGCUAGUCUAGUGUUGUCGGUAUAGAAUUUCCCAAAAUUCCAAGUUAUUUGUCAGUGUUUGAAAAUUAGGAGAUUUCCCACCAAAGCUCAACUUCUUUAAGAAUACAAGGGUCAGACAAUACGGAGCCCAGGUUCUAACUCCAUAAUGUUUGGCUGGCGCUGAGCAGAGGCUGCCCCAUUGAUGAGCUGAACGUUGAGUCCUCCAAGCUCACUAGUUCUCACAGAGUCUAACACUUUCGUGUUACUUGCAGGAGUCUGCUGCCUUGCUUCAUAGACAUGAACUCAACUGACCCAACUCACCCAACAUCUCCAUGAAGACUGGGCGGUGAGUGUUCUUAGUAAGCCCGUUUACAAGUGAGGGCUCUGAAGUUCAGAGAGGUGAAAUGACUUGCAUAAGAUCCCAGGCCAGGGGCGCCUGGGUGACUCAGUCAGUUAAGCGUCCGACUUCAGCUCAGGUCAUGAUCUCACAGUUCAUGGGUUCGAGCCCCGCGUUGGGCUCUGUGCUGACAGCUCAGAGCCUGGAGCCUGCUUCAGAUUCUGUAUCUCUCUCUCUGACCCUCCCCUGCUCAUGCUGUCUCUGUCUCUCGAAAAUAAAUAAAAAACAUUAAAAAAAUUAAAAAAAAAAAGAUCCCAGACCAGUUUCUUUUGACUUUUCAUGUCCCCCUGGUGCGCACACAUGCACGCGCGCGCGCGCACACACACACACACACACACACACACACACACACACAUACACACGCAUGCGCACGCGCAAGGCUUCUGCUCUCACCACUAUCUCUUCCUGAAAGCAGGAAUCAGCACCACUGACCCUGGCCCUAGGAAAGAUGCCCUCACUCUGUCCUCUUACUUGGAUGCCACCAAAACAGCCUCUGGUCUGUCCAUGCGCAGGUUGGAGUGGUUCUGCAGACCCCAGCAGAGGACAGUAAAGCUCAGUGGGAAGAAAAUGCAACCCAGUACAAAGAGCAGGGGCAUGCCUGUGGGGGGCGGAGAAGGUGUUCACCUCUGAGGGAAAAGGUGGAAGCUGUGGAGGGAAGCUGGUGAUUCUCAUCAGCACCCAGAACUCAGAAAGAGGAAAGAGGGUGUUCAAAUCAUAAAGAUAUUUGAAUUUUAAAACUAACCUUUUUAAAAAAAUUUUUUAAUGUUUUAUUUAUUUUUGAUACAGAGACAGAGCAUGAGAGGGG
rnacentral:lncRNA from 1 species